rnacentral:rRNA from 1 species
UACGGAGGAUGCGAGCGUUAUCCGGAUUUAUUGGGUUUAAAGGGUGCGUAGGCGGAUCGUUAAGUCAGUGGUCAAAUUGAGAGGCUCAACCUCUUCCCGCCGUUGAAACUGGUGGUCUUGAGUGGAUGAGAAGUACGCGGAAUGCGUGGUGUAGCGGUGAAAUGCAUAGAUAUCACGCAGAACUCCGAUUGCGAAGGCAGCGUACCGGCAUCCAACUGACGCUGAGGCACGAAAGCGUGGGGAUCAAACAGG